rnacentral:rRNA from 1 species
AUGAACGCUGGCGGCAUGCCUAAGACAUGCAAGUCGAACGAAGCGACCCGUUGAAACUGAGUGCUUGCACAAAGUGGAUUUGGAUUUUCGCUUAGUGGCGAAAGGGUGAGUAACACGUGGGUUAUCUACCUUAGAGACUGGGAUAACUAUUGGAAACGAUAGCUAAUACCGGAUUAUAUAUAUAAUGAUACGUUGUUAUAUAUUAAAAGGAGCCUUUAAAGCUUCACUUUAAGAUGAGCCUGCGGCGUAUUAGCUAGUUGGUAAGGUAAUGGCUUACCAAGGCGACGAUGCGUAGCCGAACUGAGAGGUUGAUCGGCCACAUUGGGACUGAGACACGGCCCAAACUCCUACGGGAGACAGCAGUUAGGAAUAUUCGUCAAUGGGGGAAACCCUGAACGAGCAAUGCCGCGUGAGUGAUGACGGUCCUCUGGAUUGUAAAACUCUGUUGUUAGGGAAGAACGACCUAUAUAGGAAAUGAUAUAGGAGUGACUGUACCUUUCAAGAAAGGUCCGGCUAACUACGUGCCAGCCGCCGC